AUUGAACGCUGGCGGCGUGCCUAACACAUGCAAGUCGAGCGGCAGCGCGGGAGCAAUCCUGGCGGCGAGCGGCGGACGGGUGAGCAAUAUUUGGGAAUCUGCCUAUUAGUGGGGGACAACCCGGGGAAACUCGGGCUAAUACCGCAUACGCACUACGGUGGAAAGCCGGGGACCGCAAGGCCUGGCGCUAAUAGAUGAGCCCAAAUCGGAUUAGCUAGUUGGUGGGGUAAUGGCUCACCAAGGGGACGAUCCGUAGCUGGUCUGAGAGGACGACCAGCCAAACCGGAACUGAGACACGGUCCGGACUCCUACGGGAGGCAGCAGUGGGGAAUAUUGGACAAUGGGCGAAAGCCUGAUCCAGCGACGCCGCGUGGGUGAAGAAGGCCUGCGGGUUGUAAAGCCCUUUCGGUGGGGAAGAAAAGCCUCGACUUAAUACGUUGGGGUCUUGACGUAACCCAAGAAAGAAGCACCGGCUAACUCUGUGCCAGCCGCCGCCGUAAAAC
rnacentral:rRNA from 1 species